CAGGGAGACAACAAAAUGUUUAAUAUUAUUAUUUUGUCACCUUAGGUCGAUCGGUAUCUCACGUUCUUAAUUUGUUAAGAAUUUCAUUUCCUAAGUUUUUCUAGGUCACACCCAUUAUUUUUCCUGGGCCAUUAGCUCAGGUGGUUAGAGCGCACCCCUGAUAAGGGUGAGGUCCCUGGUUCAAGUCCAGGAUGGCCCAUAUCUCUAUGUUGGGGGUAUAGCUCAGUUGGUAGAGCGCCUGCUUUGCAAGCAGGAUGUCAGCGGUUCGAGUCCGCUUACCUCCACUGAUUACCACCUCUUCCAUAAACGGUAUAAAGGAAAUUUUUUGAGUUGUGAUCAUUAUUCUGAACGAAUCUAGCUUCCUAAUGAAACCAUUAAGAUGCUGGACUCAUUGAAUUAAUUUCAUUGUUUUCAGAGAACCUUGACAACUGCAUAGAUUAUUUUUAAAGACAAUAAGCAUCUUUAAUGAUGCAGAUUUUUUAUUUGUGCUAAUGCAUUAAUAACAAUUCUAUUAAGCUGAUGCUUCAAUUUUUGAAGUUAUU
rnacentral:tRNA from 1 species